UACGAAGGGGGCUAGCGUUGUUCGGAAUAACUGGGCAUAAAGCGUACGUAGGCGGAUUUGCAAGUCAGGGGUGAAAUCCCGGGGCUCAACCUCGGAACUGCCUCUGAAACUGCGAAUCUGGAAUCUCAGAGGGGAUAGCGGAAUUCCAAAUGUAGGGGUGAAAUCCGUAGAUAUUUGGAGGAACACCGGUGGCGAAGGCGGCUAUCUGGAUGAGUAUUGACGCUGAGGUACGAAAGCGUGGGGAUCAAAC
rnacentral:rRNA from 1 species